AAUCCUACUGUGCUUUCUCCUCUUUUCCUUCCAGGUACUAUCCCAAAAAGGAUCAGCUGAAGGUGAUCAACUGGACAGAGCAACCUAAGAAGAAAUAGUCACACCAAGCCAGGAACCAAUAGGAAAAGAUGAAAACUCUGCCACUGCUAGUGUGCAUCUGUGCAUUCAGUGUUUGCUUCAAAGUCAGUGAAGGUCAAAGAAGGGGCUGGAACAUAUAUCCCAGAA